UGCAACGCUACCAGAACCAAAGCCACCUGCC
rnacentral:piRNA from 1 species